UAAGAAGAGGUAGGAGGUAGGGGGUUAAGUUAGAAUAGGUAGAAGGAGAGGGAGCAAGCGGCGGUGGUGGCCGUUGGAACCACGGGGAGAGGGAUUGGCGGUGGCGGGGGUGGGAGAGGGGGCAGGGGGCGAGAGUGGAAGACAGGAAUUUGAUCCGCAGGGGGUCUUGCUCUUACAACUCCGCGAAGGACUAAACGCCGCCGACGAAGGCUUAGGCGGCUCGUCGCGGUCUCCAGCCGAGGAAGAGGCGCAACAAGACGCGGUUCCACUCCGUGAGUUAUGGCACCGGCCUACCUCCAACCCGCUAAAGGAAGGGACUGGAGCGACGGAUCGGUGAGGUGGCGCUCGAAGAGCGGGGGUCGCCGCAUGUUCUGCAGGAGGAGGAGCUACGUCGGUAAGGGUUACUCAAGAGAAACGGCCUUCUCCACGUCUUCGUUCAGGUCGUGGGGGAAGCGGGGACGUAGGACAGGAUGUAGCGGACCUGCUCGAGUGACUACCAACGCAGGAAUGGAGGAUCGCACUAUAACCAAAUACCCUAGUAAAAGUUAUUGUUUCUAUACUGCUCGUCUAGGUGCCGGUCCUUACGCCCCAGGGAACCAACAUGCUGCUCGUAACACGCAACGGACUACCCACACCACGACCGACAUCUCAUCGUAUCACAAGAGGCUCCGUACGGACACCUUAAUUAGAAAAAACCCAAGAAAAAAACGAGGACAUGUCCACAUAGACCCCACACAAAUACAUUAAAAAACAAAAAUUCCUGGACUCGUAUAUAAAAGAAAAUUUAAUAAUAACCGAAUUUUAAAGGUACCUGGUUCUCUUUAGACACUACCCGAUUACAGCACCUGACUCUUUAAUCAGACUCUUUAAUC
rnacentral:rRNA from 1 species